rnacentral:tRNA from 1 species
AUUUAAAUAGCUUAAAAUAAAGCGUAACAUUGAAGAUGUUAAAAUGGUUAUUAACCUUUAGGUA